rnacentral:rRNA from 1 species
GGGAUAACAGGCUGAUACCGCCCAAGAGUUCAUAUCGACGGCGGUGUUUGGCACCUCGAUGUCGGCUCAUCACAUCCUGGGGCUGAAGUAGGUCCCAAGGGUAUGGCUGUUCGCCAUUUAAAGUGGUACGCGAGCUGGGUUUAGAACGUCGUGAGACAGUUCGGUCCCUAUCUGCCGUGGGCGCUGGAGAACUGAGGGGGGCUGCUCCUAGUACGAGAGGACCGGAGUGGACGCAUCACUGGUGUUCGGGUUGUCAUGCCAAUGGCACUGCCCGGUAGCUAAAUGCGGAAGAGAUAAGUGCUGAAAGCAUCUAAGCACGAAACUUGCCCCGAGAUGAGUUCUCCCUGACUCCUUGAGAGUCCUGAAGGAACGUUGAAGACGACGACGUUGAUAGGCCGGGUGUGUAAGCGCAGCGAUGCGUUGAGCUAACCGGUACUAAUGAACCGUGAGGCUUAACCUUACAACGCCGAAGCUGUU